UACGGAGGGAGCUAGCGUUGUUCGGAAUUACUGGGCGUAAAGCGCACGUAGGCGGCUUUGUAAGUUAGAGGUGAAAAGCCUGGGGCUCAACCCCAGAAUUGCCUUUAAGACUGCAUCGCUUGAAUCCAGGAGAGGUGAGUGGAAUUCCGAGUGUAGAGGUGAAAUUCGUAGAUAUUCGGAAGAACACCAGUGGCGAAGGCGGCUCACUGGACUGGUAUUGACGCUGAGGUGCGAAAGCGUGGGGAGCAAACAGG
rnacentral:rRNA from 1 species